GCUUUUACCAAUUUUAAUGUUUAAACAAAAAAAGCCUACUGACAGAAAUCAAAAUUGUUCUCCAUGCAGAGCCUCCUGACGUUCUAGAGCAAUGUGGAGCUGAUUUCUGUGUGGGUUUUGCCACUGUCAAAGAGCUCAUGAAUAAAACUGGAAAAGGGCUCAAAGACAGCCAUUCUUGAUGUGUGUUCGCCGUCCAAACCAACUCAAAACUGCUCUUCCGGUGUUACAACAAAUUAAAACAGCCGUAUUUUGUAUUUCGGGUUUAAAAAGGUAGAGCAAAAAUCCAACACAGUGGUUUUUCAUGAGUUAACCCUUUAAGCUUCAGUCAAUUCCAGCCGUUUUCAGUACAAAAAAAUCGCUAAUAUUCUAUUUUUAAAUAAAAAAAAUUACGAAAAAUACGGGGAAUAUUGGACGGGCAUCACGAGGUGCAUUUCCUUGAAAAUGACCGAUUCGGGGAUUUUAUACGACUUCAGGACAUGUUUUGGACAAAAUAGUUUACUGGCUUGUGUCAUCUGGAUGUAAAAGGUUGGAUUAUGGCCGUUUUUUGUGGAAUCUUUUUUUCUGUGUGUAAUAAUAAACCCGGAAAUGUGA